AGUCUUGAAUGCUCGUGGAAAGAUACGCCGCUCUCAACGCAUUCUUUAAGAUAUUUGUAAUUAAGACGGGCCAUCGUUCCCCGUGAUAUUCCCACAACAUGUGCAUCAACAAUCUGGCCAAUCAAAUUUUAUGAUUUUGAUGUUAAGUUAUGAAAAUAGUCUAGAGGGAAUAAUGUUAGGAUCAAUCAAUUUUGACUUAUGAGUGAUAUAAAGUCUUGUAGGUGGUUUCCAAAUAAUUUUGGUUUAUAGCUUUUCGAUGAAUGUAGUAAUAGCCCAACUCCAACUUACAGUCUGCAGGUUCUGCACUUAAUUUUUCUGGACGCCAUGGACGUUGUCCAUAAAACUCCAGUUUGUCUUCUCCAAGCAGUGGAUCUGGAUCUGGGUAACUGUUAAUAUUCUAAAAGACAUAUAUGUACAUAUAAGCAAGAGGCAUUUAAAGCUUUUAUAUAAAUAUGUGUGAAUUAUAAUACUUUACAUACUUGACAUAGUUCUUUACAAGCUGCUUGUCUAAAGCUUGCAUGUUGAGCUGCUAAUUGAAAAUAAUACCCAGGGUGCUGGAUUUGGAGAGCUGGAAGUCCCUGAUGAAUAGCUUCAUCAAAUAACUCGGCAAAUGUAGAGAACUGACUACACAUCCAUGCAUGAUGUUCAAAUAUAAGUUCUUUUGGACCAGUCAUCAGUUUGAAUCUGUAUUACAAUAUUUAUCUGUGUUACAGUGCGAAUUAAUUACUAUAUUUGAAUUAAAACUUUGAAUGCUUA